GGGGAAAAGAGGAAAGGAGAAGAGGACAAGAGAGGAGAAAGAAAAUACAACAGAGGGGUGGAGGGGGAUGGGGCAAAAAAAAAAAGAGAAAAAAAGGAAAGCUUCAACAAUCAUUAGGGAGUGGGGAUCAGAACGCUGAGCUUAACAUUUUGAGGAACUGCCAGACUUUUCCAAAGUAGCUACACUCAUUAGGAUGUCUAUCAUAAAAAUGAGAGACAAUAAGUAAGUGUUGGCAAGGGUGCGGAGAAAACUGAAACCCUCAUACUCUGCUGGUGGAAACGUAAAAUGGUACAACCAAUGUAAAAAGCCUGUGCUUUGGAAAACAAUGUACCAGUGCCUCAAAAGGCUAAACAUUAGAGUUACUCUAUGACCCAAAAAGUGGAAACAACCCAAAAUGUCCAUCAACUGAUGAAUGGAUAAACAAAGUGUUAUAUAUCCAUACAAUGGAAUAUUAUUCACCCGUAAAAAGAAGUGAAGUACUGAUACAUGCUAUAACGUGGAUGAACCUUGAAAACACUAUGCUAAGUGAAAGAAACCAGACACAAAAGACCACAUAUUAUAUUAUUCCAUUUAUAUGAGAUGUCCAGAGUAUGCAAAUUCAUAGAGACAGUAAGUAGAUUAAUGGCUGCCAGGGGCUGAGGGCAGGGGGAAAUGGAAAGUGCGUGCUAAUGGGUAUAGGGUUUCUUUUUGGUGUGAGGGAAAUGUUUUGGAAUUAGAUAGUGGUGAUAGUUGAAACACCUUGUGAAUAUAUUAAAAACCACUGUGUUAUACACUCUAAAAUGAUGAAUUUUAUGGCAUGUGAAUUAUAUUUCAAAUUUUAAAAACACCUAGUGCUGAGUGAAAGCAAAAGGCUAUAUAGCACAUGAUUUCAUUUACAUAAAAUAUCUAGAAAAGGCAAAUCUACAGACAGCAUAUUAGUGAUUGCCUGGGGCUACAGAUAGGAAGCAGGAUUGACUGCAAAAGUGUAUAGGGGAUCUUUUAGUUUGAUGGAAAUGUUUUAAAACUGGAUUGUGGACAUAGUUGCACAACUCUAUAAAUUUACUAAAAAGUUUUGAAUUGUAUAUUUAAAAUAGGUGAAUUUUAUGCUAUGUAAAUUAAACUUUAAUAAAGCUGUUUAAAAAAAAAGAGAGAGAGAAUAUAAAUCAACUAGGACUCCUUGGAGAAAUAGCAAGUCUGAGGCAGGAACUAUAUAAGCCUUGUGCCAGGAAUCAAGCAAGCUAUGGAACACUAAUGAGUCAUGUCAGGAACAUACAGGAGGCAACGCAUUGGCAAAAGAUGGUAAAAAUUGAGUAUUAACAAGAAUAAUGAAUGCAGUCAAUUAAAACCCAUUGAAUACAUUUUUUAAUUUUUAAUUUUUAUGGAUACAUAAAUAGAUAUACAUAUUUAUUAUAGGGUACAUGUGAUAGACAUUUUUUAAAGGGUGGUUAAUAAAGACAGGGAAAUAACAAACAUAUACAACUCAUUGGAUAUCAUUGAAAGUAAGUAGAGCACCAACUCUUUACUCUGAAAAUUGGUAAUUAAGGAAAGAAUUAAUCAUGUCUCCUGCCUUCCCUGUAGGAGUAACACAAUAGUCCUAGUUGAUGAGGGAAAGUUUACUUUCAGAAGAAUUCCAACUAGUUAAUGUGGAAAACAAAAUUAAGGAAUCACUAUUUUGAAACUACUAGUGAAAUGAUUAAUUCCACCAAUGGUCAUAACAGAUUAAACUAUUAAAUGAAAAGUUGAUGGGAAACAUAAUGAAGGAGUCAGGCAGGGAGUGGUUGCUCACGCCUAUAAUCCCAAUACUUUGGGAGGCUGAGGUGGAAGGAUCACUUAAGCCCAAGAGUUUAAGACCAGCCUGGGCAACAUAUAGAGAUCCUGUCUCCACACACACAAAAAUAAAUAAACAAACAAAUAAAUAAAUAAAUAAAAUUUAAAAAUUAGCCAGGGCUGGGCGCAGUGGCUCACACCUAUAAUCCCAGCACUUUGGGAGGCUGAGGCGGGCAGACCACUUGAGGCUAAAAGAUCAAGACCAGCCUGGCCAACAUGGUGAAACCUCAUCUCUACUAAAAGUAAAAAAUAAAUUAAAAAAAAUAGCAGGGUAUGGUGGCACACACCUGUAAUCCCAGCUACUCAGGUGGCUGAGGCAGGAGACUCACUUGAACCUGGGAGGCGGAAGUUGGCACUGCACUCCAGCCUGGGUGACAGAGUGAGACUUUGUCUCAAAAUAAUAAUAAUAAUAAUUAGCCAGGCAGGGUGGUGCAUGCUUGCAGUUCUAGCUAUUCAGGAGGCUAAGACAGGAGGAUCACUUGAGCCAGGAGAUCAAGACUGCAGUGAGCUAUGAUCACGCCACUGCACUUUAGCCUGGUGACAGAGCAAGACUACAUCUCUAAAAAUAAUAAUAAUAAGUUAAAUAAAAUAAUGAAGGAAUCCAGAUGUUACUCAUUUAUUAAAAAUGGAAUGGAUGUGUGCCUCCAGAUGUGAUUCAAAGUGAAAUACACAGUUACCCCUGUUAAAUAUUAUUGACCAAAUGAAGAAAGUUGAAUCUGAAUAUCAUCAAGCUUCUAAAGCUAACUUCCAUUAUAGAAAAAUGUGGGAUAUAAAGGAAUAAAGUAAAUGACAGCAUAAAAAAGAAAACAAACAUAUCUAAAAUGAGGGAUAUUCUACAGGACCACUGAUUCACUUUCUGCAACAAGCCAAUGGCUUGACAAAGAAAAUGUGAGGCAUAGACUGCUCUCAAUUAAGAGAGACUGGCUGGGCGUGGUGGCUCAUGCCUGUAAUAGCAGCACUUUGGGAGGCUGAGGCAGGAGGAUCUCUUGAAGCCAGGAGUUCAAGACCAGUCCUGGCAACAUAGUGAGACCUUCCCAUUUCUACAAAAAAAAAAAAAAAAAAUUAAAAAAACAAUUAGCUAGGCAUCAUGAUGUGCACCUGUAGUUCCAGUUACUUGGGAGGCUGAGGCAGGAGGAUCCCUUGAGCCCAGGAGUUCAAGGUAUCAGUGAGCUACGAUCAUGCUAUUGCACUCCAGCCUGGAUGACAGAGAGAGACCUUGUCUAAAAGAGAGAGAGAAAGAGAAAGAAACUUAAGGCCGGGCAUGGUAGUUCAUGCCUAUAAUACCAACACUUUGGGAGGCCAAGGCAGGAGAAUCAUUUGAGCCCAGGAAUCCAAGGCCAGCCUGGGCAACAGAGUGAGACCUUGUCUCUACCAAAAAAAAAAAAAAAAAAAAAAAAGUAAUUAACCAGGAGCCGUGGCAUGUACCUGUAGUCCUAGCUACUUGGGAGGCUGAGUCAGGAUAAUCACUUGAGACCAGGAGUUCAAGGCUGCAGUGAGCUAUGAUUAUGCCACUGCACUCCAGCCUGGGCAACAAAGUAAGACCCUAUCUCAAAGGGAAAAAAAAUAAAUGGAAAUAGCUUAAAUCUGUAGUGAAAUUAAACAUUAAGAAUCAAUGCCAGCCGGGUGAGGUGGCUCACGCCUGUAAUCCCAACACUUUGGGAGGCCGAGGCAGGCAGAUCUCCUGAGGUCAGGAGUUUGAGACCAUCCUGGCUAACAUGGUGAAACCCCGUCUCUACUAAAAAGACCAAAAAGUAGCCAGGUGUGGUGGCAGGCACCUGUAGUCCCAGCUACUCGGGAGGCUGAGGCAGGAGAAUGGCAUGAACCUGGGAGGCAGAGCUUGCAGUGAGCUGAGAUCACACCACUGCACUCCAGCCUAGGCAACAGAGCGACAUUCAGCCUCAAAAAAAGAAAAAAAAAAUUAGCCGGGCGUGGUGGUGAGCGCCUGUAAUCCCAGCUACUAGGGAGGCUAAAGCAGGAGAAUUGCUUGAAUUCGGGAGGCAGAGGUUGCAGUGAGCUGAGAUCGUGCCAUUGCACUCCAGGCUGGGCAACAAAGCGAGACUCUGUCUCAAAAAAAAAAAAAAAAAAAAAAAAAAAAAAAGAACCAAUGCCGUCAAAUUCUAAAAGUCCUUGAAAUUACUCUGCAGAUCCCUUCACAUCACCAUAAGUAUCCAUCUACCUCUUCUUCCUCUAAUUAAGAUUGCUUUUCUCUCAAGUACUGGUACUCAAGUUAAACUUUAAAAACUGUUUUCUUUCAUUUCAUAACUAAUAUUACAAAAAUAUUUUAUAUUUGUUAUUGCUAUGUGUAAUAUUUUAUUGACCCUGUGGAUUAAGCAAGUUUUUAUCUGCUAUUCUGGAAACAUAACCACUACUUAUAAAUGGUUUCUCUGACAAAAUUGUCCAAAGCUUCAAAUCACUAAUUUAAAUACUUAAAUUUUUAAAAAUACACAAAAAAAUAUGCACAAAGAAAAAUUCACAAAAGAAACAUUUAUUCUACUCAUCAUGUACAAAUGGUUAUUUUAGGAUACCAAAAAGACCUAGUUGGUAAGGGAAAAUUAUUUACAGAAGAAUUUCAGUUAAUAGUUGUAGAAGAAGCUGGGCGAGGUGGCUCACACCUCUAAUACCAGCACUUUGGGAGGCUGAAGCAGGAGGGUCGCUUGAGCCCAGGAGUUCCAAGUUACAAUGAGCCAUGAUCGUGCCACUGCACUCCAGCUUGGAUGACGGAGCAAGACCCUGACUCAAAAAAAAAAUAGUGUAGAAGGAAUGACAGAACUAGGAAAAUCACCAUUUGGAAUACCCUUAUGAAACUAAUAAUUCAGAUAAUGAUCAUCAGUGGAUGCUAAGACAAUGAGGAUGCCUUUCUAACAAUGAGGGUAGAUGAGAAAGGCAAUAAGGACUUUUAAAAUAGAAAGAUUAAGCUGUCCACAAUCUGUACACACUGCUCAGCCAUAGUAUCACUAAAAGUGGACCAACCAGACAUUGGGGUAGCAUGUAUGAGGGCUUGGAUUCAAGAGAAAGAGAGCAUGGCAUAUACCGAUCAUUGAAAAUGGAAUUUAGAAUUGCUGAGGUACAGAGUGUGAGAUGAGGAGUGGUGAUAAAUGAAGCUGAUGCAGGAGCCAGAUGUAGGGCCUUGUAAGUCACUUAAAGAAUUUUGAAUUUUCUCUUAAGGGGACUGGGAAGUCACUGAAGGGUUUUUGUUUUAGAAUAUAUUCUCUGGCUAUAGUGUGGGACAUGAUUUGAGGGUAAAAUAAGAGUGGGGGCAAGUAGAUGAAUUAGGAGACAGUUGCAAUAAAGUUUGAGAUGACAGUGACCUGGACCAGGGUAGUGGCAUUAGGAAAAAAGGUGAAGUAUAUGGAUCCAGUGAAUAUUUAGCAAAUAAACCUGAAAGGAUUUGGUGGUAAAAUAGAGAGAGGAUGGUGUGAAGGUUUUAGACUUGGGGAACUGGGUUGAUAGUGCCAUUCACUGACAUAAGAAACACAAGAGGAGGAGUGGGCUUAGGCUGAGAGGGUGGGGAAGGAAGUAGCUUAGUAUGGGAAAUAGUGAAUUUGCGAUGACUAUGGAGCAUGAAAAUAGGCAGAUGGCUACCCGGGGUCUGAAGCUCAGAAAAGAGGUCUGGAUUGAACAUACAUUUGUGUGAAGUCAGUGUAUAAUAAGCAGCUGAAGCCAAGAGAAUGGAUAAGAUGAGCCUAGUCAAAAACAGCAAAGCGGGCAGGCACAGUAGCUCAUGCCUGUAAUCCCAGCACUUUGGGAGGCCAAGGCAGGCAGAUCACUUGAGGUCAGAAGUUUGAGACUAGACUGGCCAAUGUGGUGAAACCCCAUCUCUACUAAAAAUACAAAAAUUAGCCAGGUAUGGUGGCACGCGCCUGUAAUUCCAGCUACUCAGGAGGCUGAGGCACGAGAAUCACGCCACUGCACUCCAGCCUGGGUGACAGAGCGAGACCCUGUCUCAAAAAAAAAAAAAAGCAAAGUAUAACAUGUGACCCUGGAGCCCCAUAUCUUUUACCUCAAGUAACUUCACACCAGUGGCAGAAGAGAAACCAGAUCACAGUGAAUUGAAGAGUGGGAGGUGAGGAAAAAUAAGGUGAAUGAAGGGGAAGAAAGAGAGAUGACAGGAACUGAAAGAGGAUAUGAAUUUGUAUAGCACCCAUUUAUGCUGUCCAAUUAACCCUUUGCUAUAUAUACUGUCUUAUAUUAUAAUAUGAAUAUAUGGUAUCAUCCCCUUCAAAAAAUGCCUCACAUGCAUGUCUAGUCUUCCCAGUAAAAUGAAAGCUCCUCAUGGAGCUUUUUUAAAAUGUCUUUAGGCUGGGCACAGUGGCUCACGCCUUCAGUCCCAGCACUUUAGGAGGCCGAGGCAGGUGGAUUGCUUGAGUCCAGGAAUUCGAGAGCAGCGUGAGCAACGUGGUAAAAUCCCAUCUCUAUAAAAAAUAGAAAAAAAUCAGGCAGGUAUGGUGGUGCUCACCUGUGGUCCCAGCUAUUCGGGAGGCUGAGGUGGGAGGAUCACUUGAGCCUGGGAAGUGGAGGUUGCAGUGAGCCAAGAUUGUGCCACAGCACUCCAGCCUGGGUGACAGAGUGAGACCCUGUCUCAACAAAAAGAAAAAAAGAAAAAAAAAGUCUUUGAAUCCUGUAUCCCCCACUGUACAUACAGAAGUCAGAGAGCUGUUUGAGAUCAGGAGGCUUAGUUGCUGACUAUACAAGAACAACCUCCUAGGUAGGCAAUAUCUUUGUACAAGGUAGUUACUCCAGUGAGGCAGGCAGACAAAUUCAGCAGACCAGUCUAUAUAUUAAAAGGUUGAUUUGUGAGCACAUUUUUUUUUAAAAAGGGAAAAAAUGUUUUUUAAAAAAAACAGAAAACAAACAAAAAUAAAUAAAACAAACGGAGUUUAUAUCCACAAAGGAUAUAUUAACAUCAGAUUAUAUAAGCCUGAUAAACUAUCUUUCUUGACUCAAGAUAUUUUUAUAAAAAGCCUGACUAACCAGAAUUGGGGACAAGAAGUUUAGUGAGAAGAAACUUACUCUUAGCUGUAAUGUUUAAAUAUUUUUAUAAGGAGAAUGUACUCACAUGUUACCUAUGUAAUUAAACAACAACCGGAAAAAAAAAACCGAAAAGGCUAAAGAAAUAAAAUGUUAUUCUUCCCCUUUCCAGGCUCCUUGCAGAUAACCAGGCUUUACCCUUCUAUUCAUAGAUCACUAUUUCAGAUGGCCAAUUUAUAAGGCAGUUGAGUAAGUUAGGAUUUCUUUACAUUAUUACAUUUCAUUCUCUUUUUCCUGAGGCCAUAUACUCUGGUCUUUGAUGGAAACCUAAAAAACAUUCCAGUCUCAUUAAAAGAAAACCUAGCUCUCUCAGGGUAGAUUAAUUCUGCAGAUGUAUGCCUUCAGAUAGCUGUUUUUAUCCAUUUUGUUUCAUUUUACUUCAUUUUCAGACAGUGACCUUUUCCCAUCCUUACUUGCAAAUUCUGAGAGCCCCUUUCUAUAAGGCACCUUUCCUCCUUUUUAAAUAAUGUGCAGGAGCACUUGUUGACAGAUAGAGCAUUAAAAGAAACGGACACAUUAAUAGGUUUUAUCAGUAAGAUUUUAGAAGUCUGAACUAGAUAACCUCUGUUCCUUACAUUUGAUGAAGAUUCUGAUUAAGGUAGAAUAGCCUUGGCUGCCUCAAACAUUUCUCUUUGCCUCUGGCACCAAGGAGGACACAGACCAAGCCACACCAGGACGAUCUCCACUCAAGAAUAGCACGUUUGGACUGUGUGAAAGGUCCCCAUUUUACAAUAAACAAGCUUCCCUAUAACUUUGAAACACUAAUCCCAGGAAAACACUAGAAAUUGGUUCAAGGUAGUAUUGUGACAGGUCUGUUGGGUCAGAUCCUAUAUACAACAGCAGGUGAAAGUAGAUGAACAGUAGCAAUCCCUUAUUUGAUGGAUUGAUUUCAACAUAGGAAAGGUGUCUAGUCAGGCUGCAAAUAUUUGAGCUCCGCUCUGCCUUUUUUGAUAUUUUAAGAUAGUCAUUUGUAUGAAGACACUUAGUGGCAUACUAAUCAAAUUUGCAGAUGAUAAACUGGAAAAGAAGCUAGUACAACUGGAUGACAUUCAGGAGUCAAAAGAAGUUUGACAAGCAGGAAUGAUAAGCUAAAUUUCUUAGGCUGAAAAGACAGAGAUCAAAUUAAAGCCUCAUACUAGGUCCUAAAACAUAAGCAUUUAAGUACCAAAUGGAUAAAUAUAGUUGAGUUUUUAGUCUUAGUGAUUUCAACUAACUAUAGGCUCAACAUAAUUCAACAGAGUGAUCAAUGUGGCUGUCAAAAAAAAAAAAAACAAGAAAAGAAAAGAAAAAAAAGCUAACAAUUUUGGCCUGCAUGAGUAGUAGCAUAGGGUCUAGAACAAAGAAAAUCACUAACCCACUCUUCUGUACUGAUCAGAACAUGUACCUGAAAUAGUACAUUUCAUUCUAGAUGCCAAUCUUUAAAGAGAGAUAUUCAUGAGCUGAAGUAUGAACAGAACAGAAUAACCAGAAUGAUGAGGAGAUCUUCAAACUCUGCCAUGAGAGUAAUGGCAGUAAAGGAACUGCAGAUGUUUAGCACAGAGAAGACAAGACUUAGUAGAGGAAACCAAUGGCCACUGUUUUCAAAUAUAAAGGGUUGCCCAAUAAUGAAGGAGACUGUCUCUCGAGCAAUUUCCUCAAAUAAUGAAGUAUUCAAGCACAGAUCUAAACUCACUUGGUGGAGAUAUUGGAAGGGAUUCAAAAGCCUGGGAUAAAUCCUAGGUCUCUCAGCUAAAGGAGCCCCAAAGUGAUGACACCUCAGUAGCAAUAAGUAUACCCCAGCACAGAGAUCCUGGUUGCUAAAUAUCAUUCCCCACUUAAGGGAGCCAGGCUUCCUUGGAGAAAUAGCUGAUUCCAAGGUUAGGGCCAGGAAAAUACAUGAUAAGCCUGAAAUAUUCCUGUUGUCCCAGAAAGUAAGAAAGUGCCAAAGAAUGAUGGAGGCAUGUCAAUGGACACAGAAACCAGCUUGAAGAAGCUCCCACUGACCAAAUCUGGGCCAAUUAGAGCAUCAAAAUAAACAGUAAAACGUUAUAACUCAUGUAAUAAGUAAGAAUCCAUGAGUCCAUACUGAUAAUCAAUUAAUUAAUCAAUACAUAGGGUAAA
rnacentral:lncRNA from 10 species